rnacentral:rRNA from 1 species
CACGCCGUAAACGAUGAGCACUAGGUGUCGGGGUCGCAAGACUUCGGUGCCGCAGUUAACGCAUUAAGUGCUCCGCCUGGGGAGUACGCACGCAAGUGUGAAACUCAAAGGAAUUGACGGGGACCCGCACAAGCAGCGGAGCAUGUGGUUUAAUUCGAAGCAACGCGAAGAACCUUACCAGGGCUUGACAUCCCUCUGACAGGUGGGUAAUGCCACCCUCCCUUCGGGGCAGAGGUGACAGGUGG